rnacentral:rRNA from 1 species
AUGACUCGGGCAUCAACUCUUGAUUUUUGGCGGAAGACACAGGAUCAGAACAACUGGACUGGGCCAUUGCACCCAGUAAAUGUCAUCAGAAAUAAAUUCCCUACCUACAAGAAUGGUACGAAUGGGAUAGUCAUCAAAUUUGCUGAUGAGCCAGAAACGCCAUCACUUAAGGAGUCUGUUGACAAAGAGACAGCAGAUCUGCUUGAUCGGCGUCAGCGUAUUUCAGUCCGCGAGCUCGCAAUGAAAUUUGAUAAGGGCCUCCGUAAUGCCACAUUAUUGUCUAACGAGGUUAAGUGUAAACAAGUGGCUUUAUUGGAGCGAGACAUCCUUCAGAAGAAUCUAAAGAGUGUAUUGGAGUCACUGAGAGGUCAAGUAGCUGGCAACUAUAAUGAUGAAAUUGAGGAAUCAGUAUCUAUGGUGGAUAUUUUACCAGUUCAGCUGUCCAAAAGAGAAAAUGAGUUGCUUCAGCAGAAAACUGACGUCACGAGAAUAGCGACUUCACUGAAACUGGGUGCUGAAGAUGCUAAGAAAAUUGUUGACGAAGAACGAACUAAUGCACGCAUGGAGAUUGAAAAUGCUAGAGCUGUUGUACAAAGAGUUCAAAAAGUACUUAAAGAGAAAGAGAACAGUUCACAAAGAAUUGGCAAGCAGAUAAAUUUAUACCUCAAGCAAACAUAA